CCUACGGGUGGCUGCAGUAGGGAAUAUUGGGCAAUGGGCGCAAGCCUGACCCAGCGACGCCGCGUGAGGGAUGAAGGUCUUCGGAUUGUAAACCUCUUUCAGUAGGGAAGAAGCGAAAGUGACGGUACCUAAAGAAGAAGCACCGGCUAACUAUGUGCCAGCAGCCGCGGUAAUACAUAGGGUGCAAGCGUUGUCCGGAAUUAUUGGGCGUAAAGAGCUCGUAGGUCGUUUGUCGCGUCGAUUGUGAAAAUCUGAGGCUCAACCUCAGACCUGCAGUCGAUACGGGCAAACUAGAGUGUGGUAGGGGAGACUGGAAUUCCUGGUGUAGCGGUGGAAUGCGCAGAUAUCAGGAGGAACACCAAUGGCGAAGGCAGGUCUCUGGGCCAUAACUGACACUGAGGAGCGAAAGUGCGGGGAGCGAACAGGAUUA
rnacentral:rRNA from 1 species